rnacentral:rRNA from 1 species
AUUGAACGCUGGCGGCAGGCCUAACACAUGCAAGUCGAGCGGCAGCGGAAAGUAGCUUGCUACUUUGCCGGCGAGCGGCGGACGGGUGAGUAAUGUCUGGGAAACUGCCUGAUGGAGGGGGAUAACUACUGGAAACGGUAGCUAAUACCGCAUGACCUCGAAAGAGCAAAGUGGGGGAUCUUCGGACCUCACGCCAUCGGAUGUGCCCAGAUGGGAUUAGCUAGUAGGUGAGGUAAUGGCUCACCUAGGCGACGAUCCCUAGCUGGUCUGAGAGGAUGACCAGCCACACUGGAACUGAGACACGGUCCAGACUCCUACGGGAGGCAGCAGUGGGGAAUAUCGCACAAUGGGCGCAAGCCUGAUGCAGCCAUGCCGCGUGUGUGAAGAAGGCCUUAGGGUUGUAAAGCACUUUCAGCGAGGAGGAAGGCAUCAUACUUAAUACGUGUGGUGAUUGACGUUACUCGCAGAAGAAGCACCGGCUAACUCCGUGCCAGCAGCCGCGGUAAUACGGAGGGUGCAAGCGUUAAUCGGAAUUACUGGGCGUAAAGCGCACGCAGGCGGUUUGUUAAGUCAGAUGUGAAAUCCCCGCGCUUAACGUGGGAACUGCAUUUGAAACUGGCAAGCUAGAGUCUUGUAGAGGGGGGUAGAAUUCCAGGUGUAGCGGUGAAAAUGCGUAGAGAUCUGGAGGAAUACCGGUGGGCGAAGGCGGCCCCCUGGACAAAGACUGACGCUCGGUGCGAAAGCGGGGGAGAAAACAGGAUAGGACACCCUGGGGGUCCAAGGGCGAAUCCCCGUGGAUUUCAUCUUUUCACUCGCGGGGUCGCGGGGGGGGGGUCGUUCCAGGUAUAUUCCCUUAUAAAUGUUCUAUACAGUUCCUGUCCU